AUGCUCACUUCAGCAGCACAUUCACCAAAAUUAGAACAAUACAGAGAAGAUUAGCAUGGCUUUUGUGCAAGGAUGACAUGCAAAUUUGUGAAGUGUUAUAUAUUUUU